UACGUAGGGUGCAGGCGUUAAUCGGAAUUACUGGGCGUAAAGCGUGCGCAGGCGGUUUGCUAAGACAGGUGUGAAAUCCCCGGGCUUAACCUGGGAAUUGCGCUUGUAACUGGCAAGCUAGAGUGUGGCAGAGGGGGGUGGAAUUCCACGUGUAGCAGUGAAAUGCGUAGAUAUGCGGAGGAACACCGAUGGCGAAGGCAAUCCCCUGGGCCUGUACUGACGCUCAUGCACGAAAGCGUGGGGAGCAAACAGGAUUAGAACCUACCGUAGUACCGUCCGU
rnacentral:rRNA from 1 species